rnacentral:lncRNA from 1 species
ACCAAUUUCAUUGAUCAAGCAGUUUACUGUCUCUACUACCAAGUAACCCAUUUAGUUACACAGAGGUUUCUAUUUUAGCAUCUGUCCAAUUUCAGUGAAGCCAACAGUUUAGAAUAUGCAAUGACCGUGAGUUCAGGAACUGGAGACAUUUGACACUGGCAGAUCAGAGGCCCAAUCGUUAGCAAUUCAGGCAACUAGACUACAGGGAGUUGCUAUCUCCUAAUUCUCAUUGGUUUAUACUGCUGUUUUAUUUUAAAAGUGCAUCACUUAGAUUCUUUGUGUUGCUGUUACUAUCACAACUUUGACCUCAAACUUCACUUGACU